ACCCACACAACAAUCAUGUUACAAGAUUAAAUCAACAAACAGCCAUGACUGGAUUAACAGCAAGGGAUCAUCGUGGCUACAGAGGUAGAUUACAAAAGAGACAACCAUACUUCUGCAGAUGAUGGAUAAGCAAUAACUAAAAGGGCGUGUUGUCCUAGACUUGCCAACAAAAAGUAGGCUGGAACCAAGGGCAGCAAACAUUGGCUGGCUUCUAAAUAUAAAGCAGAGAAGAUGACAAUGUAUCCUAGGCUUCAAUUUACGUUCCAGCAUGAGCCCCAAGCUUGAUGAAUGAUUAACAAAAUGUCAGCCUCAGAAAAGAUACAGUGGCAUUCAGAAUCAAUCAG